rnacentral:lncRNA from 1 species
AACCGGCUGCGGUGGGUUUGUGUGGUGUGGACGGUUAGUUCUUUUUGUUCUUCCCAAUAAUAUUUGCUGCUGUUCAUUGAUUGGGUCCUGGCUGCCUUUAUGAGCUGUAACACUCACUGUGAAGGUCUGCAGCUUCACUCCUGAAGCCCACGAGACCAGGAACCCACCAGAAGGAAAAAAUUCGGGAUAUAUCUGAACAUCAGAGGGAGCAAACUCCGGACCCACCAUCUUUAAGAACUGUAACACUCACUGUGAGGGUCUGCAGCGUGUUCUUGAAGUCCGGGAGACCAAGAACCCACCAAUUCCGGACACAGUGAGCUUCUCCUGUACCUGCAGUUUCUCACGAUAAUCAGCUCACAAUAGUCCUUAUGCCAAAGAGGCAUGUGUGGAGGUGCCAUAUUCUGGUCUCCUACAACAUUCAGUAAUGGUCAAGAUGGUUGAUGCAGGAAACAGAUGGAGGGGCAGAAGUUGAUACUCAUCUCAUUAGAUCCAAAGAAGCCAAAUGGUGGCCAUCACCUGUGACAUGAAGAGGGUAUAUUUUAUGGAACUGGACAGCUUUCAGAAUCACAAGCAACCUCUUCAAAAUGUGAUCUACUGAAACGUGCUUGAAAGAGAGAAUAGGAGUGAGGCGGGCAAAGGAAGCAGAAGCCAUUGUGAACUGCCCUAGAGAAACCUUGGGCAUCUUUUUGUUGGGCAAAGUGGUAGAGGCUGAAACGGGGAAUAGCAUGUAACAUUUUAUUUGACUGAAAUAAACAGCUGUUUGUUUUUUUUUUCUUUCAUAUGUAAGAUAGACAAAAGGUGUUUGACAGAUAAGGAUUGGGGCAAUGUUGGUAUGAGUUCAGCUUUUUAGUUUGUUCUUUAAAAGUGGCCAUCAAGAUGUGGGUGUAAGGUAUUUCACAG